rnacentral:lncRNA from 1 species
GCAGCCAACGGGCUCUCCCCAGAGGUCGCUGGGCGCGAGCGCUCGGCCCCGACGCGCUCCCGGACACCCACGGCUCCCCCUUCGCGGGGUAGGGGAGGAGAGCGGGACCCGCGGCUUCCGAGGUCAGGCCAGGGAAACCACCUGGCACCUGGGCUAGAGGAGAAGGCGGUGCGCAGAGCCGGGGCCGCGGGGGCCGCGGGGGCCGCGGGGGCCGAGGGGUCCGGCCGCAGCAUCCUCGGCCCGGCUGCCCGCGGCGCACACCGCCCAGGGCGGGCGCCCGAGGCCCCUCUUAACUCGGUCAGGGACGCGCCCCAGCCCCGCAGCUCGCGCGUUCGUCGCUUACCGGCGGGCCGCAGACUCCCCGCGCCCCCUCCAACCCGGCCGCACCCCCGACCCCCGCGCCGGCCCCGGCCCCGGCCCCGGCCGGCCGCCGCCUCACCCGUGGGGUCCGCGCGGGCGCCGCGGUCGGGGCCGCGCGCCUUUCUCCUCCGGGCGCCGGACGUGGAACCUGCGCGCCCGGCCGCGCCCCAAGUUGUGCGCGGGUCGAAGCAGCUCUCGAAGCUCCUCGGGGGGAGGCGGCCCCGGCCCCCGAGCCCCGGCCCCCGGCGGGCGCGGGCCCCGCGGACAUCCCCGCACGGCCGCCGCACCUCCUCCCCGUCCACACCUGCCGCCGCGGGGCCGCCUCGGCCGCGGCUCCGCCCCGGCUCCGCCCCUCGGCCGCGCCCCGCCCGCCGCCGCCGCCGCCGCCGCCGCCGCCGCCGCGGGAAAGAGGGGGAGGAAGGAGGCUCCCGGCCGCGGGGCGCCCGCCGGGGCGCUGCGCCUCCUCCCUCGGGCUGGGGCGGGACUCCGGUCCCUCCGCCGCGGCGCGGCUGCCGGGCGCCGGAUCGUGGUGGGGGAGCGGCCGUCACCCCAGCCCCUCCGGCCACCGCAGCCUCCGGCGGGCGGGAGCGCCUCGCGGCGGUCGGCGCUGAGGCCGGGCGAGGCUCCCUCCCACCUGCGCGAGCCGGGGCUCCUCCGCGCGCUCUCGAGCCAAACUCAGCCCAGUGCACGGCGGAAGUGCUCCGGGACGGGGCCCCUGCAGGUGGAGGGUCUCCUAAAGUCCUGCCCGGUCGCGUGCGCCCCGCGGUUUGA